CCCCAUCUUCUUCUUCGUGCCCUAGCCUCGCCCGACUGCUUUUUCUCCAACCAGCCACCACGCGUGUCCGAUCGAGUCGCCACCAAUUUUUGUCGACCGUUCGUGCGCAAGUCGGCUCGGUCUCAUCAGUAAGCAGCCAUCGUCUAGAUCCCCUCUUCCAUCUCACCUAAUGCCUUCCGUUCACGAGCAUCCGUGCCAGAUCCGCUUGGCCCGUUGCGUCGUCCGUCUUCCAGUUGGUCUCCUCCGCCGUGUCGCUCGACUCGUCGCGCCACCAUCUGUAUUAGUUGUGCCCCCUCGAGCAUUCUUCCAUCUCUCUUCAGCUAGUCGUUGGCUGAAGCCUCCACCAGCCAGUCGCGUUUGUUCGAUGCCGCCCAGCCCCUGCCGCCAUCGUGGUUGCCGUCAGAUCUAUUUUGGGACCAUUGGCCAUGGUGUUGUGCUUCAUUAUCUUUUUUACAUGCCUUUGGUUGGAUUUUCAAGUCAAGUUUUGGAGAAGCUUGGAAGUCAAAGGAGUGUCGUCGAGGAAAUUUGAAGUGGUUUCGUCAUUGGAUAAGCUGUUGGGCAUUUCAAUUUUGGUAAUUGUUGUGAGUUGUGUCGUUUGGGUAUUUUUAUUUUUGGAUAUGAGGUUUUGCAGUUGUUGUUUGAACUGAAAUUUGAUGGUUGUACUCGUGUUAGGGCCACUACUUAGAGUUGCUGUUUUCGUUUGGUUGUUUGAUUUCAUCUGUGGAUUUUCGACUGAGGUAAGUAAUCUUACUAUUGGAAUUGUCCAUGGGCCAGACACUAGGUGUAUGCUUGUAAGAUAAGAGACAGUAUGACUGAUUAAUAGCAUGAUUAGUUGAUGGUAUGAUUGAUGUACGUCUUCUUCGAUAUGAGGACCUGAGGGAUUAAAUGCGCAUAUAAAUAUUUGAUCUCUAGCAUGAGAUGAGUACGUGUUA